CUACUGUCCUCUCUUACCAACUAUCUUUUAAGAUGCUGCAGGGUAGAUAACCUGAUCUAACUCCGAAUAACUCAGGGGAGGAAGAUAAGCCUUCUGCCUGAGCAUUUUUCCCCCACAUUUGAUAUGCGCAAGGAAUGAAGACAUUGCCUGCCAUGCUUGGAACUAGGAAAUUGUUUUGGGCCCUCUUCCUAAUCCUACAUCUGGGACUCUGGAGCAUCUGUGGGGAGGAGUCCCGCGACCUACAACUUCAUAUUAGGAGAUACUCAGAACACACGGUUUCAGCAAAAACUUCCUUUAAAGUGGAGUGCCCUGGGAAGUAUCGUGCUCAUAGGCCUAACGUGACUUGGUGCAAAAUCAAUGGGACUGGCUGUUCACCUUUUGAGGACAGACUUCGGCUACGCACGAGUUGGGAAGAAGGGCUCAAUAAGUCGACUUUUCUGCUACAUUUUGAGCCAGUGCUUCCAGGAGACGAUGGCUGCUACCGCUGUUCUGUGAAUGCCCCUGCUCAUCCAUUCAUUGCCACUCAACAGUCACCCACCUGACAGAUUGAUGUUAUCCAGCCUGUGAGGAGUGAGCAAACUGAAGUGAGCACUAGGCCAAAUUCCCAAACACCACAAUCAGAAGCUAAAAUUUAUGACAACGACCCCUGGUUCAGGACACAGGAAGGGCCCGAAGUUUAUUCUAACCCACACUUGCAGGAAAUCAGACAAGCCAUUGUUUAUGCUCCAUUGCAUUAUCAGAAUGAAUCCAAGACAGGUAAGAAAUGAGAACGGAGCACCGACAGAAUAUGCUUCUCUCUGUGUGAGGAGCUAAGCUUGACGGGACCUCUGAAGGGUCAGAGUCUGACCCGAAUUAGGUAUCCAGUACUACGCCUCGACAUGGGGGAUUUUCACUAGAGAGUGAUGUUUGGUGCUCAGUUCCUAAGGACCCAGAGAACGUGUGAUUAGACUUUCUCCUGGAUUUCCUUUGGAAAGGGACCUGUAGAAAGAGGUUUGUGUUAUCUUGAUCAGUUCACUGCGCACUCUUGAAAAAUAAAGAAUGUCUUAGUUUGACUAAUUAUGGAUACUGUGUGUUCACAGUCAGUUUCCAUGAUGAGAAAACCUCGUAUGUCAGUCUCAG
rnacentral:lncRNA from 1 species